AAAAGAAACCAACAGGGAUUGCCUCAGUAACGGCGAGUGAAGCGGCAACAGCUCAAAUUUGAAAUCUGGCCCUAGGCCCGAGUUGUAAUUUGCAGAGGAUGCUUUUGGUGCGGUGCCUUCCAAGUUCCCUAGAACGGGACGCCAGAGAGGGUGAGAGCCCCGUACAGUUGGACACCAAGCCUUUGUAAAGCUCCUUCGACGAGUCGAGUAGUUUGGGAAUGCUGCUCAAAAUGGGAGGUAUAUUUCUUCUAAAGCUAAAUACCGGCCAGAGACCGAUAGCGCACAAGUAGAGUGAUCGAAAGAUGAAAAGCACUUUGAAAAGAGGGUUAAACAGCACGUGAAAUUGUUAAAAGGGAAGCGCUUGUGACCAGACUUGCGUCCGGUGAAUCACCCAGCUCUCGCGGCUGGGGCACUUCGCCGGCUCAGGCCAGCAUCAGCUCGCUGUCGGGGACAAAAGCUUCAGGAACGUAGCUCUCUUCGGGGAGUGUUAUAGCCUGUUGCAUAAUACCCUUCGGCGGGCUGAGGUACGCGCUCCGCAAGGAUGCUGGCAUAAUGGUCAUCAGCGACCCGUCUUGAAACACGGACCAAGGAGUCAACCUUAUGUGCGAGUGUUCGGGUGUCAAACCCCUACGCGUAAUGAAAGUGAACGCAGGUGAGAGCUUCGGCGCAUCAUCGACCGAUCCUGAUGUUCUCGGAUGGAUUUGAGUAAGAGCAUAUAGGGUUGGACCCGAAAGAAGGUGAACUAUGCGUGUAUAGGGUGAAGCCAGAGGAAACUCUGGUGGAGGCUCGCAGCGGUUCUGACGUGCAAAUCGAUCGUCAAAUAUGCGCAUGGGGGCGAAAGACUAAUCGAAC
rnacentral:rRNA from 1 species